rnacentral:rRNA from 1 species
UACGAAGGGGGCUAGCGUUGUUCGGAAUUACUGGGCGUAAAGCGUAUGCAGGCGGACUUUUAAGUCGGGGGUGAAAUCCCGAGGCUCAACCUCGGAACUGCCUUCGAUACUGGAAGUCUUGAGUCCGGGAGAGGUGAGUGGAACUCCGAGUGUAGAGGUGAAAUUCGUAGAUAUUCGGAAGAACACCAGUGGCGAAGGCGGCUCACUGGCCCGGUACUGACGCUGAGAUACGAAAAGCGUGGGGAG